CAAGCACAACCUUCACAUGACGACACCGUCAUUUGCCGAUUAUACAUGAAGUCGUAUGCAAACAAAGGUAAUACAAGAAAUUUACAGCAGCAUUUCGACAAACAUCACCGUAACACUGAUGAAACUAGUCAUACUGUAUCUAGUUCAAAAUAAGAUAAACAAGAUCAACAAGGAAAGGUGGCGUUCAAUGAAUGCAGCCCCCACCCGAACCAGUACCAAGAGCCAGCGACAAGGAGCCCAGACCUACCUUAGUCCAGAGAAAGUGAAAGCAAUAAUUUUUUUUAAAAUGAACAUGGAUUCUUACUGUUAGAUUUGUGCUUCUUCAAGCUUAGUGAUAGUUAAAGUUUAUUGUGAAUUUAAAUGGUUAAAAAGAGCUAAAUUGCUAUUGUUAAGGAGAUUAUGCUUUGUCUAAACGUUUCAUUUAACUUUUUUUUUAGGUUUUACAAACAAUUGAUAUGUAAAUCUAGUCUGUGGUUUGUAAUAUAUGAUCAUAUAUUAUAAGCAAAUGAAAGAAUAGAUAUUUGAAAAGAUG